rnacentral:ncRNA from 1 species
GCAGUUGAACAUGGGUCAGUCGGUCCUAAGCGAUAGGCGAGCGCCGUUCCGAAAGGGCGGGCGAUGGCCUCCGUUGCCCUCAGCCGAUCGAAAGGGAGUCGGGUUCAGAUCCCCGAAUCCGGAGUGGCGGAGACGGGCGCCGCGAGGCGCCCAGUGCGGUGACGCAACCGAUCCCGGAGAAGCCGGCGGGAGCCCCGGGGAGAGUUCUCUUUUCUUUGUGAAGGGCCGGGGG